UUAGAAGGAAUUGAAGAGGAGAUAAAUAUGGUAUUUCUAAUCCGAUCUUGUUUAAAUUAUUUAUGAAUUAUGAACACUGAUUUGAUGUUUUCUUUUUCUAGCAAUAUCUAUCACGGCAUAAUAAUUCUCCGUGAAAAUGUAAAAAAUGAUAGAAUUAGGUGAAGAAAAAUAAGAAAAGUUAUUAUGUAGUCAGAUGCACAACACAGGUACAUUAGUUUCUACAUUAUUCAGAAAAAAAUAAUAAAAAAAAUUGUUUCUACACAGUGAUCUCGUUUCAAAUUCUUGCCCUUUACUUUUAGUUUAUUAUUUUUUAAUUAUCUACCAAUUUAUUUGGGUCUGCUAGUCAUUCAUUGUGCGGGCUUUUCCUCAUAUCUUUUACGGUUCUAACACUGUUUGAUUUACACUUUAGAGUAGAGAAAUAAUUUGAAAAAAAAUAAAUUUUAAAAUAGAAAUAAAGAAGUUUUAUUCUGUUGUUUGUUUUUGUACUGAGUAAGAAGUAGAGUAAAAAUAAUACUGUGAAAAGUUGAUUGGUAUGAAUGAAAAUAGGAAUGACAGAAAUAAACAGACACAUAAAAAUUCAUUAAGUUGCACAACCAAUUAAUUAUGAUGCAUAUAUUAAGUUGGUAAAGAAAAUCAUUGUGUAAAUGAAAUUAUAGAUCAUUUUUGUUAUUCAAAAUUUUUUUGUGAAGGCAAAAAUUUGCUCAUGCAAAAAUAUUUUUUUUAUUCUCAUAAAUGUGAAAAUAUUAAAAAUUUAUUUCUGUAAAUUUUUUAAUAUGUUUUUUCUUGUAAUUAUUUUUAACAUGAACGUAAAUUUAGAUAAAUUCAAACCUACAAGAAUGAGUUUUUAGACCAACUAUGCAUACAAUUAAUGUAAAUAUGAUAUUUUUAUAUUGAUUAGACAUAUAACAAAUAUAAAAUAUGACUUUUUGCAUCAAUUAUGAAUUUAACCAAUGCACAAAAUCGAUGUAUGUAGGUUUGGAUGUCUAAUUUUGUUUCAAAAAAAAAAAGACAAAUUUUAAUUUUAUGAGAAUAAUGUUUUUUUACUGAAACAAAUUUUAAACAUUUUGUAUUUUUUAACAUGAAAAAUAUAUCUUAACCUUAAAUUUAAUUCACUAUAAACUCGGUGGUAGCAAACUCCUACUGCUCAUCUCUGUGGUCGAGAUUUUAUUUUCGUUGUCAUUAGUACCAAACACAACAUAAACUUAUUUGGGUAAAGCUUCAUACACCACAUGAAAAUAAGGAACACUUCUUUUACAUUUUGAGUUAUCUUUUUCAUAAUGUAAGAAAGUGUUCCUUGAUUUCUACCGGCUGCAAGAAGAAAUACCCCUUUGUUUUUUGUAUGGACUCUUUCUCAUUCGUUCCGAAUCCAUUAUAUCCAUUGGUUCGGGGUUGGAUUUAACCCAAAUUUCACUAAGAAGAUAAAAACUUAUUUUGAUUAUUAAUCUAUUUCUUUGAUCCAAUAGCAUGUUUUUUGUAACAAACAUAAAAAAUUAAUGAUAGGUUCUGAUAGAAAUUAAAUGCAAAAUGUAAAAUAAGUGAUGCAAUAAUAAAUAAUUAUGUACAUGGCUUAAAAUUAUAAACUCAGCAAAAAAAGGCUUAACUUAUACUUCCUUGGUCCCAUUAUAAGUGCCCAGUAAGAAAAAAAAAUGGUCUCCAAAUAUUAAUGAUAGAUAACAAAAUUUACAAAUGAAUGAUGAUAUUAGAUUAAUUUUAUAAUUUUUUUCAUAUAUUAUUUUUUAUUUAUCUAUAUAAAAUAAUCAAAGAUAAUAAAUACAUUUAAUAACGAAAAAAUAAAGUGCAUUUUAACAUUUCUACAACUAUUAUUUUAGUUCAGGAGAGCACUUUGUUUUAUGAAUUUAUUGUUAUCUCAUUUGUCUUCACCCACAAAAAAAGUUGGUAUUCCAUUUGAUGAUUUUUUAAAAAUAAAUAUUUAAUAAUUGAUUUGGAAGUUUUUAUUUUAUUUAUUUUUACCAUUAAACUAUUUCAACCAAAAAGAAACUUGGUUAAUAUCAGAAUUUGAUCUUUUUGAUUCUUAUAAUUUUGGGAUCACAUUUAUCUUAUUUGACAUAAAAAAUUAAACUUGUGAAUAAAUUUAAAGAAAGACUAAAAUCAAAAUAAAAAAUAAUUAAGAAGACCAAAAAUACUAUUUUACCUAUCAUUUUAAUUUGAGAGUUCAUUUUAAUUUGAGAGUAAGUAGCACAAUUUCAUAAUUUCAAAUUUAUUUCCUUUUAUCUACUUUCUUAUUUAGUUACUAGAUGAUAACUGUUAAAUAAUUGUGAAUUAAUAGUAAAAAAUUAGUCAAAUUUUGACUUAAAAUUAAUUAUUUAACAGUUAUUUGUGAUUAAAAGCUAGAAAAGUAAUUAAGUUAAAUUUUUUGGCUGCAGAUAUGAAAACUAAAGGUACAACAAGCAAAAGGUGGCAGAAAUUGAAGAAAAAGAAGAAAAUCUGAAUCAAGCCCAGCUCAACACGCGCGUCACACGUUAAGCGUGCAAGGCAACACAGGCGCUAAGCGAGGCGUUAAGCUCGAAGAUGCAUGAUUCGUUACGCGCGCUAAGCGCACAAUCUAACAGAAGCACACGCUAAGCUUGUGGCAGGCGCUAAGCGCACGAUCUGAACGCGCUAAGCGUGCCUUUGAAGGCCCAAAGCUCAUUUCUGCGCCUAUAAAUAGAGAUCCAAGCCAAGGGAGAAC
rnacentral:lncRNA from 1 species